AGCAGCCGCGGUAAUUCCAGCUCCAAUAGCGUAUAUUAAAGUUGUUGCAGUUAAAAAGCUCGUAGUUGAACUUCGGGGUCUACCCAUUGGUCAGGCUUAUGUCUGCACUGGUGAGAUGGAUCUCUACCUUCUGAGGAACUUUCAUGCCAUUUAUUUGGUGUGGUUGGAAAUCAGGACUGUUACUUUGAAAAAAUUAGAGUGUUUAAAGCAGACUAUCGUCUGAAUACAUUAGCAUGGAAUAAUGAAAUAGGACGGACUGAUUCUAUUUCGUUGGUUUCUAGGAUCACCGUAAUGAUUAAUAGGGAUAGUUGGGGGCAUUAGUAUUCAAUUGUCAGAGGUGAAAUUCUUGGAUUUAUUGAAGACUAAACUACUGCGAAAAGCAUUUGCCGAGGAUGUUUUCAUUAAUCAAGAACGAAAGUUAGGGGAUCGAAGACGAUCAGAUACCGUCUAGUCUUAACCAUAAACUAUGCCGACUAGGGAUCGGACGAAGUUAAUUUUAUUAAUGACGCGUUCGG
rnacentral:rRNA from 1 species